UGCAUAACACUAUAGUUUUGUUCAACAGGUGCACAAAGGCAUGGAAGAAGGAUGCAAACAUAAAUCCUCAUUUGCCAUCCAGAAUUCAUUGUUGAGUUUGAGUUUUUAUACACAAAUGAAGGAAUAUG